rnacentral:rRNA from 1 species
AGAUUGAACGCUGGCGGCAGGCCUAACACAUGCAAGUCGAGCGGUAGAGAGGUGCUUGCAUCUCUUGAGAGCGGCGGACGGGUGAGUAAUGCCUAGGAAUCUGCCUAGUGGUGGGGGAUAACGUUCGGAAACGGACGCUAAUACCGCAUACGUCCUACGGGAGAAAGCGGGGGACCUUCGGGCCUCGCGCCAUUAGAUGAGCCUAGGUCGGAUUAGCUAGUUGGUGAGGUAAUGGCUCACCAAGGCGACGAUCCGUAACUGGUCUGAGAGGAUGAUCAGUCACACUGGAACUGAGACACGGUCCAGACUCCUACGGGAGCAGCAGGUGGGAAUAUUGGACAAUGGGCGAAAGCCUGAUCCAGCCAUGCCGCGGUGUGUGAAGAAGUCUUCGGAUUGUAAAGCAACUUUAAGCGUUAGGAAGGAAGGUUUAGUAACUUAAUACGUUUGACUAACUUUGAACGUUACCGACAAGAAUAAGACACCGGACUAACGUUCGCG